rnacentral:rRNA from 1 species
GGCCAGACUCCUACGGGAGGCAGCAGUGAGGAAUAUUGGUCAAUGGGCGCGAGCCUGAACCAGCCAAGUCGCGUGAGGGAGGACGGCCCUACGGGUUGUAAACCUCUUUUGCCGGGGAGCAACGGGCGUCACGUGUGGCGCCACUGAGAGUACCCGGAGAAAAAGCAUCGGCUAACUCCGUGCCAGCAGCCGCGGUAAUACGGAGGAUGCGAGCGUUAUCCGGAUUUAUUGGGUUUAAAGGGCGUGUAGGCGGGAGAGCAAGUCAGACGUGAAAUUCCAGGGCUCAACCCUGGAACUGCGUUUGAAACUGUUCUUCUUGAGUGAUGGAGAGGCAGGUGGAAUUCCGUGUGUAGCGGUGAAAUGCGUAGAUAUUAGGAGGAACACCAGUGGCGAAGGCGGCCUGCUGGACGACAACUGACGGUGAGGCGCGAAAGCGUGGGGAGCAAACAGGAUUAGAUACCCUCGUA